GCUGCUGCAUUCCGUCUGAGACAAGAUAUUGAGAUAGCCUGUUGUUUGACCUAACCUAGCAAGCUCUUAUAUUUAACCUAGCUAGCUCCUAUAUAGUAGUUUCCUAAGAUGGGAUCUGUUUUCUCACCCACCUUAUGUCAAAUAAUCAGAGAGCAUGUUCCCUUUUCUUACCACCUCUGCCCUGCUGCAAUUCUUCUGAUGCCAUUAGUCUUAUUUCUGGUUUAUAAGAGAACUAAGGCCAUACUUUCUCAUCAGCCAGCCAGAUACACUGAAUUCCAAGGAGCGUGUGGCCUGUUCUCCCAUGGCAGUCCUGCUUCUUGAUGUAUUAGACCAGUACAUGUGAGGUCCUGAGUUCCCCAGCUUCUUCUGCAAAUGACCCAGGGCAAAACAUGGCUGUGAAGGUUUACAGCUACCCUUGGAGUUGAAGUGGAGAGAGUCACCACCGUGUUGCUGAGAGCUCCGCUAUGCUGAUAGAGCAUGGAGGGGAAACAGGAUGCAUGUACAAGAGCUAUUAAGAUGUUGGUCUAAGUCACAAGAGUUUUGGAGACCGGAAAUACUUGAUUUCAGUAGUUGAAUUUAAAGUUAUCUGAAGCCCUUCUGCAGGAGCUUUGGGGUCCUGUGGGUACUGGACUCUUAUCAGCUUCUCUGCUGACUUCCUAUGUGAUCUUGGAGCAGUCAAUUUGGAUGCAGUUUUCAGCAGCACUGUUGAAAGCUGCUGGCUUUUUGGAGCACUGCUGCUUCUUGCUGCUGUUUCUGUGUAUGUGCCCUUGGCCUAAUGCAGUGGGAUCCCUGUCUCAAGUAACAGUGAUAGCAUCUCAGGUGGACAAAUGCAGGACCGUACUGGAGCUCACUGUGAAUGAAUCUGAAAUCUAGGCUGGAACG